rnacentral:rRNA from 1 species
AGUGAACGCUGGCGGUAGGCCUAACACAUGCAAGUCGAACGGCAGCACAGUAAGAGCUUGCUCUUACGGGUGGCGAGUGGCGGACGGGUGAGGAAUACAUCGGAAUCUACUUUUUCGUGGGGGAUAACGUAGGGAAACUUACGCUACUACCGCAUACGACCUACGGGUGGAAGCAGGGGAUCUUCGGACCUUGCGCGAUUGUAUGAGCCGAUGUCGGAUUAGCUAGUUGGCGGGGUAAAGGCCCACCAAGGCGACGAUCCGUAGCUGGUCUGAGAGGAUGAUCAGCCACACUGGAACUGAGACACGGUCCAGACUCCUACGGGAGGCAGCAGUGGGGAAUAUUGGACAAUGGGCGAAAGCCUGAUCCAGCCAUACCGCGUGGGUGAAGAAGGCCUUCGGGUUGUAAAGCCCUUUUGUUGGGAAAGAAAAGCAGCAGGUUAAUACCCCGCUGUUCUGACGGUACCCAAAGAAUAAGCACCGGCUAACUUCGUG